rnacentral:rRNA from 1 species
GAUGAACGCUGGCGGCGUGCCUAAUACAUGCAAGUCGAGCGAACGGACGAGAAGCUUGCUUCUCUGAUGUUAGCGGCGGACGGGUGAGUAACACGUGGAUAACCUACCUAUAAGACUGGGAUAACUUCGGGAAACCGGAGCUAAUACCGGAUAAUAUUUUGAACCGCAUGGUUCAAAAGUGAAAGACGGUCCUGCUGUCACUUAUAGAUGGAUCCGCGCUGCAUUAGCUAGUUGGUAAGGUAACGGCUUACCAAGGCAACGAUGCAUAGCCGACCUGAGAGGGUGAUCUGCCCCACUGGAACUGAGACACGGUCCAGACUCCUACGGGAGGCAGCAGUAGGGAAUCUUCCGCAAUGGGCGAAAGCCUGACGGAGCAACGCCGCGUGAGUGAUGAAGGUCUUCGGAUCGUAAAACUCUGUUAUUAGGGAAGAACAUAUGUGUAAGUAACUGUGCACAUCUUGACGGUACCUAAUCAGAAAGCCACGGCUAACUACGUG